AGUGCCCAAUGCGGGAAUCGAACCCGGGUCGUAGCGGUCGAAAACCAAUAAUUUAGACCAUUCAUCCACCGACCC